rnacentral:rRNA from 1 species
UACAGAGGUCUCGAGCGUUGUUCGGAUUCAUUGGGCGUAAAGGGUGCGUAGGUGGCGCCGUCAGUCGGGUGUGAAAUUUCGGAGCUUAACUCCGAAACUGCAUUCGAUACUGCGGUGCUUGAGGACUGGAGAGGAGACUGGAAUUCAUGGUGUAGCAGUGAAAUGCGUAGAGAUCAUGAGGAAGACCAGUGGCGAAGGCGGGUCUCUGGACAGUUCCUGACACUGAGGCACGAAGGCCAGGGGAGCAAACGGG